ACGCUCGACACCUACGGGAAGCAGCAGUGGGGAAUAUUGCACAAUGGGGGAAACCCGUGAUGCAGCGACGCCGCGUGAGCGAAGAAGUAUUUCGGUAUGUAAAGCUCUAUCAGCAGGGAAGAAACUGACGGUACCUGACUAAGAAGCACCGGCUAAAUACGUGCCAGCAGCCGCGGUAAUCUGAGCGGGCUGGCAAGGC
rnacentral:rRNA from 1 species